AUUGAACGCUGGCGGCAUGCUUUACACAUGCAAGUCGAACGGCAGCGCGGACUUCGGUCUGGCGGCGAGUGGCGAACGGGUGAGUAAUAUAUCGGAACGUACCCAAGAGUGGGGGAUAACGUAGCGAAAGUUACGCUAAUACCGCAUACGAUCUAAGGAUGAAAGCAGGGGAUCGCAAGACCUUGUGCUCCUGGAGCGGCCGAUAUCUGAUUAGCUAGUUGGUGAGGUAAAGGCUCACCAAGGCAACGAUCAGUAGCUGGUCUGAGAGGACGACCAGCCACACUGGAACUGAGACACGGUCCAGACUCCUACGGAGGCAGCAGUGGGAAUUUUGGACAAUGGGGGCAACCCUGAUCCAGCAAUGCCGCGUGAGUGAAGAAGGCC
rnacentral:rRNA from 1 species